GAUCAUGGCUCAGAUUGAACGCUGGCGGCAGGCCUAACACAUGCAAGUCGAACGGUAACAGGAAGCAGCUUGCUGCUUCGCUGACGAGUGGCGGACGGGUGAGUAAUGUCUGGGAAACUGCCUGAUGGAGGGGGAUAACUACUGGAAACGGUAGCUAAUACCGCAUAACGUCGCAAGACCAAGAGGGGACCGUCGGCGUCUUGCCACUCGGAGUGUGCCCACGAUGGGAGUUAGU
rnacentral:rRNA from 1 species